AUGUUGGCUCCUGGACAUGGAUUUCUGUUUUUAUCCACAGAACAAAUCCAGGCCAACCUUUGCCCAGUUCAGCUCCUGCCAAUGUGCCCUAUCCUGGAGGGACCACCUGUAGUGCUGAGAGAAGAGUUCAGUUGCCAUGGCCCAGGAGUCCUUGGCAUCU
rnacentral:sRNA from 1 species